CCUACGGGUUGCAGCAGUGGGGAAUAUUGGACAAUGGGCGAAAGCCUGAUCCAGCAAUGCCGCGUGUGUGAAGAAGGUCUUCGGAUUGUAAAGCACUUUCGACGGGGACGAUGAUGACGGUACCCGUAGAAGAAGCCCCGGCUAACUUCGUGCCAGCAGCCGCGGUAAUACGAAGGGGGCUAGCGUUGCUCGGAAUGACUGGGCGUAAAGGGCGCGUAGGCGGUUUUUGCAGUCAGAUGUGAAAUCCCCGGGCUUAACCUGGGAACUGCAUUUGAGACGCAUGGGCUAGAGGUCGAGAGAGG
rnacentral:rRNA from 1 species